rnacentral:rRNA from 1 species
AUGACUCUGAACAUGAUGUGUUUGUUCCUGCUUCAUACAACUAUUAGCUGGAUAAAAUCGAAGCAUUGCCACUGCAGAGAUGAGUACUUGGGGUUAAAAGGAGAGUCAGUUUUCUGCAAUGAAUCAGUUUUUCUUGAUUGGAUUUACAAACUCUCAUGUCAACAAAACCAAGAGUACAUUGCUCAUAUUCCACUCCAUAUCUUCAAAUUUUGGUUGAAACAUGUAAUAUUAUGGUGCAUACUCUGCUGUCACUCACUGUCCACACCUUGCUUUAUGCUGUCUCAACAUGCAAUUCCAUUUGGCUUCAUACCUUUAUAA